rnacentral:rRNA from 1 species
GAUGAACGCUAGCUACAGGCUUAACACAUGCAAGUCGAGGGGAAACGACAUCGAAAGCUUGCUUUUGAUGGGCGUCGACCGGCGCACGGGUGAGUAACGCGUAUCCAACCUGCCCAUCACUUGGGGAUAACCUUGCGAAAGUAAGACUAAUACCCAAUGAUAUCUCUAGAAGACAUCUGAAAGAGAUUAAAGAUUUAUCGGUGAUGGAUGGGGAUGCGUCUGAUUAGCUUGUUGGCGGGGUAACGGCCCACCAAGGCAACGAUCAGUAGGGGUUCUGAGAGGAAGGUCCCCCACAGUGGAACUGAGACACGGUCCAAACUCCUACGGGAGGCAGCAGUGAGGAAUAUUGGUCAAUGGGCGAGAGCCUGAACCAGCCAAGUAGCGUGCAGGAAGACGGCCCUAUGGGUUGUAAACUGCUUUUAUAAGGGAAUAAAGUGAGAGUCGUGACUCUUUUUGUAUGUACCUUAUGAAUAAGGACCGGCUAAUUCCGUG